rnacentral:rRNA from 1 species
AUUGAACGCUGGCGGCAGGCCUAACACAUGCAAGUCGAACGGUAGCACAGAGAGCUUGCUCUCGGGUGACGAGUGGCGGACGGGUGAGUAAUGUCUGGGAAACUGCCCGAUGGAGGGGGAUAACUACUGGAAACGGUAGCUAAUACCGCAUAACGUCGCUAGACCAAAGUGGGGGACCUUCGGGCCUCACACCAUCGGAUGUGCCCAGAUGGGAUUAGCAAGUAGGUGGGGUAAUGGCUCACCUAGGCGACGAUCCCUAGCUGGUCUGAGAGGAUGACCAGCCACACUGGAACUGAGACACGGUCCAGACUCCUACGGGAGGCAGCAGUGGGGAAUAUUGCACAAUGGGCGCAAGCCUGAUGCAGCCAUGCCGCGUGUAUGAAGAAGGCCUUCGGGUUGUAAAGUACUUUCAGCGGGGAGGAAGGCGGUGAAGUUAAUAACUUCACCGAUUGACGUUACCCGCAGAAGAAGCACCGGCUAACUCCGUGCCAGCCGCCGCGGUAA